UCGCAUGGGAGUGUUGUCAAAGGUGGCCUCUUCUUGAAAGCUGCCACCUGGAGAUGGGCCCGCGGUCCAUUAGCUUGUUGGUGAGGUAACGGCUCACCAAGGCUACGAUGGAUAGCCGGCCUGAGAGGGUGAUCGGCCACACUGGAACUGAGACAAGGUCCAGUCCCCUACGGGGGCCAGCAGUCUAGAAAUUUGGGCAAUGGGCGAAAGCCUGACCCAGCGACGCCACGUGAAGGAUGAAGCCUCUAGGGGUGUAAACUUCUGUCAGAAGGGGAGAACGCGGGGGGGUGAAUAUCCCUCUCGUCUGACGGUACCUUCAGAGGAAGCUCCGGCUAACUUCGUGCCAGCAGCCGCGGUAAUACGAAGGGAGCGAGCGUUGUUCGGAUUUACUGGGCGUAAAGGGCGCGUAGGCGGGUUCGUAAGUCGAGUGUGAAAACUGUGGGCUCAACCCACAGACUGCACUCGAAACUGCAAGCCUUGAGUCCAGGAGAGGAGAGCGGAAUCGGCGGUGUAGCGGUGAAAUGCGUAGAUAUUGCCGAGAACACCGGUGGCGAAGGCGGCUCUCUGGCCUGGUACUGACGCUAAGGCGCGAAAGCUAGGGGAGCGAACGGGAUUAGAUACCCCGGUAGUCCUAGCCGUAAACGAUGGGCACUAGGUGUUGGAGGUGUUGACCCCUUCAGUGCCGCAGCUAACGCAUUAAGUGCCCCGCCUGGGGAGUACGGUCGCAAGGCUGAAACUCAAAGGAAUUGACGGGGACCCGCACAAGCGGUGGAGCAUCUCCUCAAUUCGAGGCUACGCGAAGAACCUUACCCAGGCUUGACAUAUACCUGCAAGCCCUAGAAAUAGGGCCCCUCUUCGGAGCGGGUAUACAGGUGCUGCAUGGCUGUCGUCGGCUCGUGUCGUGAGAUGUUGGGUUCAGUCCCGCAACGAGCGCAACCCCUGUCCCUAGUUGCCAGCACGUCAUGGUGGGAACUCUAGGGAGACUGCCUGUGUUAAGCAGGAGGAAGGUGGGGACGACGUCAAGUCCUCAUGGCCCUUACGCCUGGGCAAGCGUGCUACAAUGGCCGGUACAAAGGGCUGCGAUACUGUGAGGUGGAGCUAAUCCCAAAAAACCGGUCUCAGUUCGGAUUGAAGUCUACAACUCGACUUCAUGAAGUUGGAAUCGCUAGUAAUCGUGGAUCAGCAUGCCACGGUGAAUACGUUCCCGGGUCUUGUACACACCGCCCGUCAAGCGAUGAAAGCUGGGAAUACCCGAAGUCGGUCACUCAACCCGCAAGGAAGGGAGCCGCCGAAGGUAGGCCUGGUAAUUGGCGCUAAGUCGUAACAAGGUA
rnacentral:rRNA from 1 species